GAUAACGAAUAAGGCUUCUUAAGCCCCGCGCAUUUCUUGAAAUGCGACAGAACGGAAGCUUGCGAACAGAAACCUCGAUCUGCAUCUCAUACUUUAAUGCUCCACGACCACCAAUCGAACCCGUGACCUCGUGCUCGGCAGAGCAACGCCACAGCUACUAAGCCACCAUGACGAGCAGCAUGUAAGGCACCAGAAUUCAAAAAAGAGGCUGAUUUCAUGAA